rnacentral:siRNA from 1 species
UACGACAUUGGGUUUUGGAGACCCAC